UACGUAGGGAGCGAGCGUUAUCCGGAAUUAUUGGGUGUAAAGGGUGCGUAGACGGGAAAACAAGUUAGUUGUGAAAUCCCUCGGCUUAACUGAGGAACUGCGACUAAAACUAUUUUUCUUGAGUGCAGGAGAGGUAAGUGGAAUUCCUAGUGUAGCGGUGAAAUGCGUAGAUAUUAGGAGGAACACCAGUGGCGAAGGCGACUUACUGGACUGUAACUGACGUUGAGGCACGAAAGUGUGGGGAGCAAACAGG
rnacentral:rRNA from 1 species